GCAAUAUAUGCAUAUAAAUAAAGGCCGAAAAGCAAAGAAGGAAAGAGAAAAGAAUAGGUUUUUGGCUUUGUUGUAUGUGGUAGUGGUAAUCGUAAUCCAAAAGGAAGGAGGCGCAGCGCAGCGAGAGCAUCAGAGCAAAAAUCCUAGCUUGUUUUGAGCUAAGAGGACAACCAAAGGAUGGGCAGCGAAACCGAAGGUAGUAAUGCCAAUGGAUCCCAGAUACCUCCCGGGAUGAAGAAGAUGGUGCACACUUUGAGAGAAAUUGUUAACAAUAACUGUUCGGAUUAUGAGAUCUACUCUGUCCUUUGUGACUGUGAUAUGGACCCUAACGACGCCGUUCAGAGACUCCUUUCUCAAGAUGUUUUUCAUGAAGUGAAGAGCAAACGUGAAAGAAGAAAAGAGAUGAAAGAGACGCAAGAAUCAAAGGCCCGGGGUAGUAAUAAUGGUCAUCGCGGAGUUAAAGUUGGUGCUGAAUAUACUGUUGGACAUGCAUCAUCUCAAAUCAGCUAUAAUGACCUUGAUAAAGCUUCAUACAUGAGAGAGAAUCCGUACAUUGCUUCUUCAAUAACUUCUUCGUCACCUUUGACUUAUCGUGUGAGAACUAUGAAUGAGCAUCCUUCAUUUCAUAGUUAUGAUAAUGGACGGAAUUCAAGGAAAACUGUUGGAACUGGUGGUGCCAUCUCUUCAUCUGAACAAAGUUCCAGAGGUUCUCAAGCUGCUUUGGUUAGGGGUCCUUCUGGGCAUGUUUCUAUGGCUGACAUUAUCAAGAUGGGCUGGUCAGAUGUGCCGGGUUCAUAUUCGGCAGCUGAGACAUCUUAUGCAUUUCAAGAUACAGAUGCACGAGGCUCAUUGCAUUGUUGUCUUAAAGCUUUACAUAAUUCUUCACCCUCUCCAGCUCCUUUAGAAAUUCACCAAGAUCUGCAAUGUCCACAUCCUGCUAACGUGUCAAAAACUCUUCAUCAAUCUGGCACCAUUUUGAACCAGCAUGAUUUUGAUGAUGAAUUGCCUGUGAUUGAGCAGCAGGCAUCUGUGAGUAGGUCGUCUAUCUUAAAUAGUUCAACUACCUCUAGCAUUGGGAUGCUUCCUAAUCAAUCUCACUUGCUUGAUGAUGGGAUCAAAUUGUCUAAAAACUGCCAACCAGAGGUCCAAGUAUCAGACAGGAAUGUUUCUUGCAAAAUUCCUGCUGUGAAUUGUGUCAAAUUUGAUUCUCCAUCUAGUGGACAGGAAAAAAUAAAUAGUGUUGGAGGCGCAUCUCUCUGCAAUGAUGGUUCCUUGAGGCAACUGGGAAGAGAAAGCUGCUCUCAUUUAUAUUUUGCAAAUGGCUCUGCACAUUUGAAUGACGAAGUGUCAUCAACUGCUGCAAGCUUGCAGCAGCUGAGUCUGGAGAAAGAGGCAAAAUUAGUGCUGACAUCAGAGGAUGACUGUGCAGUGGUGUUUCCAAAUGAUAUGCGAACCUUAGGUGCUGACUGCUCACAUUUGAGCUUUGGUACAUAUAACACUGGUGUGCAUGCCGCAAGUUCUGGGCCAUUGGCAUCUAACCCCUCAAAAAGUAACAUGAAGGAGGCAUCUUCAGUGAUUGAUAGGUCAUCUUCUAUUUGUUCGGACUUCAGAGACUAGAAAUUCAGGGUACUUUGGUGAGUCCCUAUGCAGUGAGCAGGUUGGAUGCCUUUCUGAUGCACAUCAAUUAAAUGCAAAUGUUAAGAAUCAUAACUUGUCUGUAUCUUCACAGCUGGAGUUAAUGAGACAAAAUAAUCAUAAAGUUAAUAAUGGGCAUGAUUAUACAUCUCCCGAAUCUGUACCCGACUCUUGUUUCAAGAAUAUCCAAGGGCCUAGUUCUCCCUGGUCGGUUGUCAUAAACCCUCAUGCGAGGAAUCUUCCUCCUCUUCAUAGGGAACUGCAAGCAAGUUCAACACCCGUUCCAGUUGAUUUGUUGGCAUCAGCUGUCCAAUCUGUGAGAGAUUCUGAUUGGGCAUAUUCAUCUUUCCCUGGAACACUGUCAUUGACCUCAAAAUUCAUUGAUAUUGUAUCAUCUGCGGUCAGUCCAACUGUUCCCAUGGCAGAGGUAUGUAAUAAGUUUAUUGAACUUUGGUGACUUAUCAUAUACAUUUUAAAGCUGUUCCUCAUUUGCAAGAGGGAAAAAAAGUAGGUACAACACAAAAAAGUUCAUCACAAAGAUUUCUAAAAAUUGUUUUAUGCCUAAACCUUGAACCUCAAGAUGCUCAUUAUAAUGUUAUUUGAUUUCUAUAAACCUUUCUAUUUCAUUUUAGGCCAUUGAUAUUUUGCUUUGCUUUGCAGUAUGAUCUGGUAAAUUGAAACUUUAGGUAUCUGUGAUCAGCUAUACAUGUAAUGUAAUCCUAAUGUUGAUGUGUCAUGUUACAGUAUUGUACUGACCAAAUAAUAGAUUUCUGAUCCCAUUCAUUUUGAGCACAACAAAGCUGAUUGUUUUUAUUUAUUUAUUUAUUUUGGCAAUUUUGCAGAUUUGUUCUGGUUCCUUUUCUAUACCCAAGUCACACUCAUCAACUCUGCCUGGUGUGGCCUUUGGUGCAGGUCAUGUGCUUCCCCAGCAUCUCAUGGCACACCCUCAGUCUACCCUUUCCUUGGAAGAAUUGAUCAGUUUGUCUGGCUACUCUGCUGUUCCUCAAACUUAUCCGUGCACUCCAACUGCUUUGCAGCGAGCAUAUCAAGAUAGCAGUGCAAAUAUCUCUGUACUCCAUGAUCCCCUGGCAGGCAUGAAGUACCACCUUCAACAGUUAGAAGGUGUUUCACCUAGGAGUAGCUUGCCCCUGUCUAGUGCAAAUAUUUCUGGUUAUGGAGGUUUGGGAAAUCCUACCAACUUGUGUGGGAGGUUUCUGAAUGAUUUAUCGACUACACCUAAUGUAGGUUUGGGGAAUCCUACCAACUUUUCUGGGAACUUUCUCAAUGAUUUGUCGACUACUACUAAUGGUUCUGCAGCUGGCUGUAAUGAUUUCUUACAUGCUCAGUACGAGGAGGGAAAUAAUUUCACUAUGCCUCAAAAGGUAUAGGUUGUAGGGUUGCCUCUGAUUUUGCAUUAAUGUUCAUUAUAUGCUGUUGCAUGCCAAUUCUUGUGGAAACUCUUUAACUUGGUGCAUUUAUGACUUGGUUUUGCUGUUUUCAGUAGCAGAAGGGAUUUUAUCUUCUGAUUAUUCUUAUGAUUUUUAUUUUCUGCUUUGCUUGAUCCAUUUAUGAAGAAAUAAAAAACCCGAAUGAUGGCUUUUCUCUGUAGGAUGGACCUGGUUCAAGAACAUUAUCUACCGUUCCAGACAAUGGAUACUACAACUCACGUGGACAAGGCCAGCUGUUCUCUACAUAUCAACAAGGUCAACAGCUCUCACAGAAUUAUGGUGCUCUAGGUUGCACAAAUGUUGAUCAUUAUCGGCAAAGAAUCUCACGGGAUGAACAGCAAAAGCUUGGUGAUUUGGCUUUUAGAAGUUCUCAAGGUCCAUCUACACAGUUGCACCCAUUUAGGCAGCAUAUCUACUAGUGGUUGUAGGUCAUCAUCUAAUCCAUUUCUUCAACUUUGGCUGCACAGCUACUGAUAGUUUUCUUUUUUCUCUUUUCAGUAGUGAGUCAAAAGAGUCAAAUUAUGUCUGUUUACAGUUUAAUUAGAAAUGCCUAAUGAUUUUGGGGUUGUCGAUUGUACAUACCUAAAAAAGAUGAGACUGGCUCUGGCCCAUGCCUCAAUAUUGUAUUUUACCUGAUUUCAUAUUGGGGCAUGAUUUAGAUGGGUGGCUUGUUAAUGUGAAUUUCCUUCGUUCAAAAAAUCAUUUUGAUUUAAAUAAAAAAAAAAAUAGAGCGGCGUCU
rnacentral:misc_RNA from 1 species